AACUUCAGCAAAAGCCAAAGCAGCCAACAAAGCCACAGCCCCAUCGGCUGUACUGGGCUCUGCCUUUUGGGCAGCUCGCCGGCCACUCCCCAAAAGCAGAGCAUUCCAUCCUUUCUCUUUUUAAACCCACGUCAUCAUCUGAUCAUAAUGGAAAUCAAUCUCCUCAAACCACCAUGCAAAGGCGUAUCCAUGGCAACCUCAAAAGGAAGGACACAGAGAUGAUGCUUCAGUGGCUGCAGCAGGAAAAGCUCUUCGCCUCUCAGUACCUUAAGUAUACCUGAGUAGCCAGUGGUCAACAUGGGUUUGCUGCUCUCCUCACUGCAAUAAAUGAGGUCCCGCCCUGACUGAAAACUGCGCGCCGACCGCAGCCGGGAUUACAUCAAUCAGGCACAAAGCUGGACACCUGGGACAGGAUAAGCGCACGCGCACUGUGCCUGGGAAGCCUAUUAGGACCAUAAGAAAUCGGCGUGUCGUGGCGAGCGCCCUCUUUCGGUGGAGGGGAGAAAGCGCAGAAGGUCUGGAGGACUCAUUUGCCAAGUGUUAAACUGCUGAUUAAAACAAUAGCGAUAAACAAUAUCU
rnacentral:antisense_RNA from 1 species